AACCUGGUUGAUCCUGCCAGUAGUCAUAUGCUUGUCUCAAAGACUAAGCCAUGCACGUCUAAUUACAAACUAAAUGAUGGUGAAAACUGCAAAUGGCUCAUUACAACGGUUAUGAUGUACCCGGGAGUUCCGAUGGAUAUUUCCAGUAACACUAGAACUAAUACAUGCUCCUGCGUUUAUUAGUUUCGCACAGUCCGUCGCUGAGUCAUGGUAAACAGUUGAUCGACUCGACGUCCCGGAACAGUUUCCGCCCCAUCCAGCUUCGAUGGUUGGGUAUUGGCCUACCAUUGCCACAACGGGUACCGAGGAAUUAGGGUUUGAUUUCGGA
rnacentral:rRNA from 1 species